GGCCUGUUAGCUCAGAUGGUUAGAGCGUCGUGCUAAUAACGCGAAGGCCGCGGGUUCGAUCCCCCCACAGGCCA